CAGUCGCCACGGGAAUACGUAGGGUGCAAGCGUUAAUCGGAAUUACUGGGCGUAAAGCGUGCGCAGGCGGUUCUAUAAGACAGAUGUGAAAUCCCCGGGCUCAACCUGGGAACUGCAUUUGUGACUGUAGAGCUGGAGUGCGGCAGAGGGGGAUGGAAUUCCGCGUGUAGCAGAGAAAUGCGUAGAUAUGCGGAGGAACACCGAUGGCGAAGGCAAUCCCCUGGGCCUGCACUGACGCUCAUGCACGAAAGCGUGGGGAGCAAACAGGAUUAGAUACCCCCGUAGUCCCUGUCUCUUAUAC
rnacentral:rRNA from 1 species